CCUACGGAGGCAGCAGUGGGGAAUAUUGGGCAAUGGGCGCAAGCUUGACCCAGCAACGCCGCGGGAAGGAAGAAGGCUUUCGGGUUGUAAACUUCUUGUAAGUGGGAAGAGACGAAGACGUUACCUCUUGAAUAAGCCACGGCUAACUCCGUGCCAACAGCCGCGGUAAUACGUAGGUGGCAAGCGUUGUCCGGAUUUACUGGGUGUAAAGGGCGUGCAGCCGGGAGGACAAGUCAGAUGUGAAAUCCCGUGGCUCAACCGCGGAACGGCAUUUGAAACUGUUUUUCUUGAGUCCUGGAGAGGUCAUCGGAAUUCCUUGUGUAGCGGUGAAAUGCGUAGAUAUAAGGAAGAACACCAGUGGCGAAGGCGGAUGACUGGACGGCAACUGACGGUGAGGCGCGAAAGCGUGGGGAGCAAACAGGAUUAGAUACCCCAGUAGUC
rnacentral:rRNA from 1 species